CGGUGUUCAACUGGCGUGUCCGCGGGACGUCCUGCCGGUGGGCUUAGCCCGCAAGGGCGGCCCAACUUCAAAUCCCAUCGCGGUGCUCUUCACUGAGUGUCGAGGUGGGCCGGGCACGUUUACUUUGAACAAAUUAGAGUGCUUAAAGCAGGCUAAAACUUCGCCUGAAUACUGUGUGCAUGGAAUAAUGGAAUAGGACCUCGGUUCUAUUUUGUUGGUUUUCGGAACCCCGAGGUAAUGAUUAAUAGGAACGGAUGGGGGCAUUCGUAUUGCGACGUUAGAGGUGAAAUUCUUGGAUCGUCGCAAGACGGACAGAAGCGAAAGCAUUUGCCAAAAACGCUUUCAUUGAUCAAGAACGAAAGUUAGAGGUUCGAAGGCGAUCAGAUACCGCCCUAGUUCUAACCAUAAACGAUGCCAGCUAGCGAUCCGUCGACGUUCCUCCGAUGACUCGACGGGCAGCUUCCGGGAAACCAAAGCUUUUGGGUUCCGGGGGAAGUAUGGUUGCAAAGCUGAAACUUAAAGGAAUUGACGGAAGGGCACCACCAGGAGUGGAGCCUGCGGCUUAAUUUGACUCAACACGGGAAACCUCACCAGGCCCGGACACCGGAAGGAUUGACAGAUUGAGAGCUCUUUCUUGAUUCGGUGGGUGGUGGUGCAUGGCCGUUCUUAGUUGGUGGAGCGAUUUGUCUGGUUAAUUCCGAUAACGAACGAGACUCUAGCCUGCUAACUAGGCGUAUUUUCGACAUCUCAAAGGUCCGUCGUCCCGGCCCUCGGGUCGUGGGCGUGCGCGAUUUUUACUGUCGGCGUACUAUCAAUUCUUCUUAGAGGGACAGGUGGCUUCUAGCCGCACGAGAUUGAGCAAUAACAGGUCUGUGAUG
rnacentral:rRNA from 1 species